rnacentral:rRNA from 1 species
UACGGGGGGGGCAAGCGUUGUUCGGAAUUACUGGGCGUAAAGGGCUCGUAGGCGGCCAACUAAGUCGGAUGUGAAAUCCCCAGGCUUAACCUGGGAACUGCAUCCGAUACUGGAUGGCUUGAAUCCGGGAGAGGGAUGCAGAAUUCCAGGUGUAGCGGUGAAAUGCGUAGAUAUCUGGAGGAAUACCGGUGGCGAAGGCGGCAUCCUGGACCGGCAUUGACGCUGAGGAGCGAAAGCUAGGGUAGCAAACGGG